GCCGCGUGAGCGAUGAAGGCCUUCGGGUCGUAAAGCUCUGUCCUAAGGGAAGAAUUUUGACGGUACCUUAGGAGGAAGCCCCGGCUAACUACGUGCCAGCAGCCGCGGUAAUACGUAGGGGGCAAGCGUUGUCCGGAUUUACUGGGCGUAAAGGGUGCGUAGGCGGUCUUGUAAGUCAGAAGUUAAAGCCCUCGGCUCAACCGAGGUAAGCUUUUGAAACUGCAAGACUUGAGUGCAGGAGAGGAGAGCGGAAUUCCUAGUGUAGCGGUGAAAUGCGUAGAUAUUAGGAAGAACACCAGUGGCGAAGGCGGCUCUCUGGACUG
rnacentral:rRNA from 1 species